ensembl:lncRNA
GGAACUUCACGCUUUCUCCAGUCGGGUUUUGUUUUAUUAACGAGGCGUUCCGUUUUAUUUCUGCGACCCGAAGCUUACCUCACGAGUCCUGCGUACUGACGAACUUCUCGCGCUAACGUGUUUGCGUGAGAUGGUUUCUCACGGCUCGGUGGAACAGCCGCUCUGCACUUUAUUCUAUCUUACGCAUUUCAGGGGUUUUUGUUUUGUUUUUUUAUUAUUUUUUUUAAUUAUUGUAUUUAUUGUUUUUAUUUUUCCCCACGAGUGGAUGUAGAUAUAAGAGCUUUAUUUUUUAUUUAUUUUCUUAAUUUUUGUUCAGUCACUGUAUAUUUAUGACGUGGGAAAUGAUUAUUAUUAUUGUUUUGUUUUUUUGUUGUUGUUUUUUUUUUUCCAUUUGUGAACACUGAGUCGAUGUUUUCUUCGUAGAUUUAUAAGAACGCGUAGUUGCCUGAUGGGUAAAUAUUUAUACUGCUUUACAUUUUGGUGCUGAAUACCAGGUUAAAGGAAUUUUUAUUAUUAUUAUUAUUAUUAUUAUUAUUAUUAUUAUUAUUAUUAUUAUUAUUUGCUCCGAAUUUACUCGAGAUGUUUUUGUUGUCUGAUGUUUGCUCGCGUAGUUUUGCACGGGAGCUGCGGAGAUGACCGCUAACAAAAAAACAAAACGCUCGGACCGCCAUCAUUUCUCGCGCCGAGCGUCAAACACGUUCACACCGAAAUACUCGCGAUGCGUUCAGCGUAGCAGAUUCUGGUGUGGACGGUGGGGAGACGACGUCAUCGCCAGCGCGCUCACGGUCGAAGAAAACGCCGGACCCGGGUCCGAGCGUGGAAAGCCGAUGUUUGAGCGGAUGACGAGGCGAGAGAGAGCGUGGCGGGCUAAAACGCUAAAGCGCCGCUGCACCACGCUGUCUGUCAGCAGGUAGUGGAAUGGCGUCGUGUGUACUGCAGGAAAGCAAAGUGAAAAUUGGGCGAAUUUAAACAGAAAAUCAUUCUUGGACUGAGUUCCUUCAACGGCGAAGAAGCUCAUCGUUCCGCGUCGUCACUUCCCGCUUUCGAACUUCCGGGAGAGCGUGUCCGUGACGCUCCAGCGUCCCGCCGAGGUCCCGCAGCUUCGUGACGAAGAUGUUUACGGAAGAGAGGAAAUAUUUUUGGGUGACUUUAGAGGUUCAUUAGUGACGUUGGAUUAGUCUCGUCGCUCCAGUGCAAAAAAAAAACAAAAAAAAACUGGAGCAAACGUCAGAGCAAGACUCGCAUUUUAUUUCCUACAGGAAAAAAAGAACU